CUGUUGAAGAUUUUUGUAUCAGUAUUGGGUCUGGUACCAAGGUUCUUGGUGACAAGGAGUCAUUGCCAGUAAUGAGUUUUGGUGUUGGGAGUGGACCUGAUUUUGCUUGGAGCUGGGUGGAGCAAAGAAUCUGCUCAUGCUAGGCAGUCUGAACUGAUUAGACUUUUCGGGUCAGUUAACAAGAGUCAGAAAACCCAUGACUUUGUUUUGUUUUUUUUUGUUCUCUCUGGGAAGGAGGGCUGCCACAUUGAGCCAUCCUUAGAAAGUAGCUCAGAUCUGCCCUGCCUUGAUGUGGUGUAAGUGAUACAGGGCUUUGGCACCAAGCGUGCAGCCAGUGCUGAAAUCGGUUUGGAGUGUCGAGAGGAGCUGAAAGGAUUGAUGCCCUUUCCUUGAUACAGGUAAUGGGAGUAUCCACACUCCAAGGGGUGCUGAAGAAUGGGUAUCCCUGGGAAGAGCAUCCCUUUUUGGAGUUUGUGAAGCAUUUUCAGAAUCUUGUGGACUGCUUCAACAGGGUUAUAAGCCCUCUCGCUUCUGGACACAAGCCAAUUGGGUUAGGAAGAAACUCCCCAUAUGUGCAGGUUUUUCCAUGAUUGUCCAUUAUGGGGCUCCUUGUGCCUUCUUCUGAAACAUGUGGUACUGACUACUGUCAGGAAAAGGGUAAUGGACUACACGGACAACUGUUUCAAUCAGAUGAUGCUCCCUCAGCACUUGGAGAAAUUCUUCAGGAGGUGAAGGCUGGAGAAGAUACAACAGCCCCAGCUUGGCAGUAGUAUGAGGCUUCUCAGAUAACCCAUUGCUAAAGAACAUAAAUUCACCCCACCUUUACCCCCAAUUAAAAAAAAACAUACAACUAA